GGAGUCUGGGCCGUGUCUCAGUCCCAAUGUGGCCGUUCAACCUCUCAGUCCGGCUACCGAUCGUCGCCUUGGUGGGCCGUUACCCCGCCAACUAGCUAAUCGGACGCGAGUCCAUCUUUGAGCGAUAAAAUCUUUGAUAUACCGACCAUGCGAUCAAUAUAUGUUAUGCGGUAUUAGCGUUCUUUUCAGAACGUUAUUCCCCUCUCAAAGGCAGGUUACUCACGCGUUACUCACCCGUCCGCCACUAAACUAAAAUUCCGUCUCCCCGAAGGAAUCCUUCCUAGUAGUUCCGUUCGACUUGCAUGUGUUAGGCACGCCGCCAGCGUUCGUCCUCGAGCCAUGAUCAAACUCU
rnacentral:rRNA from 1 species